rnacentral:rRNA from 1 species
GAUUAAGUUAUUAAGGGCGCACGGUGGAUGCCUUGGCACUAGAAGCCGAUGAAGGACGUUACUAACGACGAUAUGCUUUGGGGAGCUGUAAGUAAGCUUUGAUCCAGAGAUUUCCGAAUGGGGAAACCCAGCAUGAGUUAUGUCAUGUUAUCGAUAUGUGAAUACAUAGCAUAUCAGAAGGCACACCCGGAGAACUGAAACAUCUUAGUACCCGGAGGAAGAGAAAGAAAAUUCGAUUCCCUUAGUAGCGGCGAGCGAAACGGGAAGAGCCCAAACCAACAAGCUUGCUUGUUGGGGUUGUAGGACACUCUAUACGGAGUUACAAAGGACGACAUUAGACGAAUCAUCUGGAAAGAUGAAUCAAAGAAGGUAAUAAUCCUGUAGUCGAAAAUGUUGUCUCUCUUGAGUGGAUCCUGAGUACGACGGAGCACGUGAAAUUCCGUCGGAAUCUGGGAGGACCAUCUCCUAAGGCUAAAUACUCUCUAGUGACCGAUAGUGAACCAGUACCGUGAGGGAAAGGUGAAAAGCACCCCGGAAGGGGAGUGAAAUAGAACCUGAAACCGUGUGCUUACAAGUAGUCAGAGCCCGUUAAUGGGUGAUGGCGUGCCUUUUGUAGAAUGAACCGGCGAGUUACGAUUUGAUGCAAGGUUAAGCAGUAAAUGUGGAGCCGUAGCGAAAGCGAGUCUGAAUAGGGCGUUUAGUAUUUGGUCGUAGACCCGAAACCAGGUGAUCUACCCUUGGUCAGGUUGAAGUUCAGGUAACACUGAAUGGAGGACCGAACCGACUUACGUUGAAAAGUGAGCGGAUGAACUGAGGGUAGCGGAGAAAUUCCAAUCGAACCUGGAGAUAGCUGGUUCUCUCCGAAAUAGCUUUAGGGCUAGCCUCAAGUGAUGAUUAUUGGAGGUAGAGCACUGUUUGGACGAGGGGCCCCUCUCGGGUUACCGAAUUCAGACAAACUCCGAAUGCCAAUUAAUUUAACUUGGGAGUCAGAACAUGGGUGAUAAGGUCCGUGUUCGAAAGGGAAACAGCCCAGACCACCAGCUAAGGUCCCAAAAUAUAUGUUAAGUGGAAAAGGAUGUGGCGUUGCCCAGACAACUAGGAUGUUGGCUUAGAAGCAGCCAUCAUUUAAAGAGUGCGUAAUAGCUCACUAGUCGAGUGACACUGCGCCGAAAAUGUACCGGGGCUAAACAUAUUACCGAAGCUGUGGAUUGUCCUUUGGACAAUGGUAGGAGAGCGUUCUAAGGGCGUUGAAGCAUGAUCGUAAGGACAUGUGGAGCGCUUAGAAGUGAGAAUGCCGGUGUGAGUAGCGAAAGACGGGUGAGAAUCCCGUCCACCGAUUGACUAAGGUUUCCAGAGGAAGGCUCGUCCGCUCUGGGUUAGUCGGGUCCUAAGCUGAGGCCGACAGGCGUAGGCGAUGGAUAACAGGUUGAUAUUCCUGUACCACCUAUAAUCGUUUUAAUCGAUGGGGGGACGCAGUAGGAUAGGCGAAGCGUGCGAUUGGAUUGCACGUCUAAGCAGUAAGGCUGAGUAUUAGGCAAAUCCGGUACUCAUUAAGGCUGAGCUGUGAUGGGGAGAAGACAUUGUGUCUUCGAGUCGUUGAUUUCACACUGCCGAGAAAAGCCUCUAGAUAGAAAAUAGGUGCCCGUACCGCAAACCGACACAGGUAGUCAAGAUGAGAAUUCUAAGGUGAGCGAGCGAACUCUCGUUAAGGAACUCGGCAAAAUGACCCCGUAACUUCGGGAGAAGGGGUGCUCUUUAGGGUUAACGCCCAGAAGAGCCGCAGUGAAUAGGCCCAAGCGACUGUUUAUCAAAAACACAGGUCUCUGCUAAACCGUAAGGUGAUGUAUAGGGGCUGACGCCUGCCCGGUGCUGGAAGGUUAAGAGGAGUGGUUAGCUUCUGCGAAGCUACGAAUCGAAGCCCCAGUAAACGGCGGCCGUAACUAUAACGGUCCUAAGGUAGCGAAAUUCCUUGUCGGGUAAGUUCCGACCCGCACGAAAGGCGUAACGAUUUGGGCACUGUCUCAACGAGAGACUCGGUGAAAUCAUAGUACCUGUGAAGAUGCAGGUUACCCGCGACAGGACGGAAAGACCCCGUGGAGCUUUACUGUAGCCUGAUAUUGAAAUUCGGCACAGCUUGUACAGGAUAGGUAGGAGCCUUUGAAACGUGAGCGCUAGCUUACGUGGAGGCGCUGGUGGGAUACUACCCUAGCUGUGUUGGCUUUCUAACCCGCACCACUUAUCGUGGUGGGAGACAGUGUCAGGCGGGCAGUUUGACUGGGGCGGUCGCCUCCUAAAAGGUAACGGAGGCGCUCAAAGGUUCCCUCAGAAUGGUUGGAAAUCAUUCAUAGAGUGUAAAGGCAUAAGGGAGCUUGACUGCGAGACCUACAAGUCGAGCAGGGUCGAAAGACGGACUUAGUGAUCCGGUGGUUCCGCAUGGAAGGGCCAUCGCUCAACGGAUAAAAGCUACCCCGGGGAUAACAGGCUUAUCUCCCCCAAGAGUUCACAUCGACGGGGAGGUUUGGCACCUCGAUGUCGGCUCAUCGCAUCCUGGGGCUGUAGUCGGUCCCAAGGGUUGGGCUGUUCGCCCAUUAAAGCGGUACGCGAGCUGGGUUCAGAACGUCGUGAGACAGUUCGGUCCCUAUCCGUCGUGGGCGUAGGAAAUUUGAGAGGAGCUGUCCUUAGUACGAGAGGACCGGGAUGGACAUACCUCUGGUGUACCAGUUGUCGUGCCAACGGCAUAGCUGGGUAGCUAUGUGUGGACGGGAUAAGUGCUGAAAGCAUCUAAGCAUGAAGCCCCCCUCAAGAUGAGAUUUCCCAACUUCGGUUAUAAGAUCCCUCAAAGAUGAUGAGGUUAAUAG